rnacentral:tRNA from 1 species
GGCCUGGUCGCUCAGCGGCAGAGCACCUGUUUCAUACGCAGGGAGGCGCAGGUUCGAGUCCUGCCCAGGUCACCA